GUUCAGCUCAGUUGCUUUUCAACGUUCUCUCUACUCAAGUCUGGUAUUGAUUUGCAUCAAGUGAAUUCGAAAUUUCUUCCUAUCUGUUCAGAGACUUCGUCCAUGCAGAUGUUUGAUAUGUUGGAGAUGAAGAGAGGCACACUGUAUUUGUAUUUGCUUAUGACAAUAAUUUGCUACGUUGUUUUGACUGUAUCAUCAAACGAUACGAAUGACAACAACAGCAUGUGCAUUGGAGAAAAGGGAGAAAAGGGAGACGUUGGCCAUCAAGGUCCUCAAGGCGUACGCGUAAGUGUUUCGUCGCUCAAAAUGUAGGAAAUUGUGCAUGAGUGCUAGAAGAGUAUUCGGGUUUUGCUAUACACUAUAGCACAUGCAUGCUCGCAAGUGGAUAUAGGUGUUUCAUAUGUCGUGUCUCUAAUUACGUGUGAAUGGUGUCAGAAGUGUCACUUUAUUAGCUAAUUAGAGGUGUACGCUACAACACAUCCCAGUUACCACAUGCUGCGCUUGCUCGAUCAAUUAGUAGUUCAGCUAUAUAGGUACAUAGUCUUUGCUUUACAAUGUGUACGACGAUGACGAUCAACGGAG